rnacentral:rRNA from 1 species
GACGAACGCUGGCGGCGUGCUUAACACAUGCGAGUCGAACGGAAAGGCCUGCUUUCCCUUGUGGAUUGCGGGUACUCGAGUGGCGAACGGGUGAGUAACACGUGAGUGAUCUCCCCCCAACUUGGGUAUAAGCCUGGGAAACUGGGUCUAAUUCCCGAUAGGACUGCAGGGUGGUGCCUGUGGUGGAAAACGAUUUUCUAGUGGUUGGGGAUGAGCUCGCGGCCUAUCAGCUUGUUGGUGGGGUAAUGGCCUACCAAGGCGGCGACGGGUAGCCGGCCUGAGAGGGUGGACGGCCACAUUGGGACUGAGAUACGGCCCAGACUCCUACGGGAGGCAGCAGUGGGGAAUAUUGCACAGUGGGCGGAAGCCUGAUGCAGCGACGCCGCGUGGGGGAUGACGGCCUUCGGGUUGUAAACUCCUUUCGACCGCGAGGAAGCCACCUGGUUGGAAGGGUGGUGACGGUAGUGGUAGAAGAAGCACCGGCUAACUACGUG